UAACGGGGGGGCAAGCGUUGUUCGGAAUUACUGGGCGUAAAGGGCUCGUAGGCGGCCAACUAAGUCGGAUGUGAAAUCCCCAGGCUCAACUUGGGAACUGCAUCCGAUACUGGAUGGCUUGAAUUCGGGAGAGGGAUGCAGAAUUCCAGGUGUAGCGGUGAAAUGCGUAGAUAUCUGGAGGAAUACCGGUGGCGAAGGCGGCAUCCUGGACCGACAUGACGCUGA
rnacentral:rRNA from 1 species